ACAUGAUGAGAUACCUAGCUGGCACCAGUCCGAGAAAGACUUGUACUCUUUUUGCUGCGGAAUAGCUUUGCGAGUCACCAGACUCUUUUCCCUGAU
rnacentral:snoRNA from 1 species